rnacentral:lncRNA from 1 species
CAAAUACACUGUGAUCUCCUCACUCCCCUCAGCAUCCAAACACACUGCGAUCUCCUCACUCCCCUCGGCACCCAAACACACUGUGAUCUCCUCACUCCCCUCGGCACCCAAACACACUGCGAUCUCCUCACUCCCCUCGGCAUCCAAACACACUGUGAUCUCCUCACUCCCCUCGGCACCCAAACACACUGUGAUCUCCUCACUCCCCUCACACCCAAACUCACCGUGAUCUCCUCACUCCCCUCAUCAUCCAAACACACUGUGAUCUCCUCACAGCCCUCAGCACCCAAACCCACUGCGAUCUCCUCACUCCCCUCGGCAUCCAAACUCACCGUGAUCUCCUCACUCCCCUCCGCCCCCAAAUACACUGUGAUCUCCUCACUCCCCUCGGCAUCCAAACACACCAUGAUCUCCUCACUCCCCUCGGCAUCCAAACACACCAUGAUCUCCUCCUACAGGCUCUUUCUGCACUUGGCUUAAAGCCGCCCUCUCCCUUCUGUGGCCUCACUGGCCUCUCCUCCGUGCUGGGAGGGAGGCAGGGCCAGGAAUUGGGGGUGGCCUUCGGAUCCCCACACCCUGAGGUCUCCCAG